GAAGAGGGUCUCUGCUGGAGGGCACGACUCUCCUGUUUACUACACACCAGGUCACUAUCAGGUCAUCUGGAUGCUGGUGAUAUAAUGAGCAGUUGAAGGACCUCUCUUUCUUUGAUGGUUGAAGCUGUCACAGGGUGACCUCGUUUUGUCAAAGAUUCACCCUUCCAAUGCAAUCCUCCUCCUAUGGUUUGUCAGUUCAUGGAUGCUUUGGCAGCGCCAUCACUUUUCACCUCUGUCUGCCUGCCCAUUCUCCAACGUCCUCUGCUCAGACCCUGCUGGACUUCUCACUCAGGUUCCAAUGGCAAAUAAAGGAUUCCCUUCUGACAAGAUCCAUUUCCAGACACCAACAUCUUUCACCCACCGCCUGGAUCUCCAAGCCCUACCUGGCAUCUGUUUUUCAUCCUGGAACUGUAAGAUCUCUUCUCAACAACUUGCAUGAUUGAAUCAACUUGUGCUCCCCCUUCUAAUCAUUGACUCUCCUUUCUGGACACCAUAGAAACCCGAAAUCCUGACACAUUUUUUGUGUGUCUGCCAUUUAUAAAACAUAUAUUUUCUAAUUCUUUUGACCCACAUGAUUCUCCAUGUGGGUCAGAAAACGUUAACAGUCAACAGCCCAAUAGAGACAGAAAACACACUCCCAGCUUGUGAGAAUGAUUUUUUUUAAGAACUAUAAAAGGUGCGUCAGGGCAAGGAUUUAUUGUCGUCCAAGGAUGUAUUUUUAUGGAAGCUGUAAAUUAAAAUGAGUUUUAUGACACUG